rnacentral:rRNA from 1 species
GAUGAACGCUGGCGGCGUGCCUAAUACAUGCAAGUCGAGCGAACGGACGAGAAGCUUGCUUCUCUGAUGUUAGCGGCGGACGGGUGAGUAACACGUGGAUAACCUACCUAUAAGACUGGGAUAACUUCGGGAAACCGGAGCUAAUACCGGAUAAUAUUUUGAACCGCAUGGUUCAAAAGUGAAAGACGGUCUUGCUGUCACUUAUAGAUGGAUCCGCGCUGCAAUAGCUAGUUGGUAAGGUAACGGCUUACCAAGGCAACGAUGCAUAGCCGACCUGAGAGGGUGAUCGGCCACACUGGAACUGAGACACGGUCCAGACUCCUACGGGAGGCAGCAGUAGGGAAUCUUCCGCAAAGGGCGAAAGCCUGACGGAGCAACGCCGCGUGAGUGAUGAAGGUCUUCGGAUCGUAAAACUCUGUUAUUAGGGAAGAACAUAUGUGUAAGUAACUGUGCACAUCUUGACGGUACCUAAUCAGAAAGCCACGGCUAACUACGUG